rnacentral:tRNA from 1 species
GCCGGGGUGGCGGAAAGGUAUACGCGGACGGCUCAAACCCGUCUGUUCGAAAGGACAUAGGGGUUCGACUCCCCUCCUCGGCA